rnacentral:rRNA from 1 species
GACGAACGCUGGCGGCGUGCUUAACACAUGCAAGUCGAACGGAAAGGCCCUGCUUUUGUGGGGUGCUCGAGUGGCGAACGGGUGAGUAACACGUGAGUAACCUGCCCUUGACUUUGGGAUAACUUCAGGAAACUGGGGCUAAUACCGGAUAUGAUCUCCUGCUGCAUGUUGGGGGUUGGAAAGUUUCGGCUGUUGGGGAUGGACUCGCGGCUUAUCAGCUUGUUUGUGGGGUAGUGGCUUACCAAGGCUUUGACGGGUAGCCGGCCUGAGAGGGUGACCGGCCACAUGGGGACUGAGAGACGGCCCAGAAUCCUACGGGAGGCAGAAGGGGGGAAUAUUGCACAAUGGGCGGAAGCCUGAUGCAGAAACGCCGCGUGCGGGAUGACGGGCUUCGGGUUGUAAACCGCUUUCGAAUGUGACGAAGAGUGAGUGACGGUAAUGGGUAAAGAAGCACCGGCUAACUACGUG